CCCACUCGACAGGCGCCCGCGCGCGUCGCGGUCCAGCUCGGUCGCUAAUUGUUAUGUAACAGAGAACAGUUACGUGCAUCGCAAACGACGCACUUUAAUAUUCAUUACAAGGCAAUAUUACGUCGUCGUGGAAGCGGACACAUGUGCACGGAACACCGAAAACGCUGUGAUAAUGUUACAGGAUUUUAUAAACUGGUUCGGGGAACACGAAUGCAAGUUCUUGCCAAUCCCGAAGGGAAGGUGAAGUCACUGAACUUGACCUCAUCGAGCGGCCUUGGAAUGUAAAGACAUUGCACCUGCUAGUAUGCAACUCCGUUAGUUCCAGCCGCUUACGUCAGCCGAUGUCUUAUCUGGAUCCAUAGAAGCAUACACACAGAAGCCAGAAACCUACAACUUAUAGAUCUCUGUUAAAAGGACUACGAUAAUUUCAGAUGUUAAAGGUUAUUUCCUUAUUCUUCGUGUUUCAAGUGUGGGUAAUGGAGAGACGCGUCACGUACCUGUCCAUCGAUUAGAAUUUAUACGGUUUAACAUAGCUUGUGUGCAGCGAGCGGCCUUCGCAAGGACGCCGUGAUAAAACGAUUGCUUUAAUUAAUCAUGCAAUAUACGCAGACUAUGAUUUUGUGUUGAGAUUGUUUUUGUUGUUUAAAAUACUUGAAAUUCCUUAACUUUAUUUACUAUUACUAGGUAUUAUUUGGAUUGUAAUCACGGGUAUUCUAUGUGAAAUAAAAAUGUAUACAUGUAA